AUUGAACGCUGGCGGCACGCCUUACACAUGCCAGUCGAACGGUAACAGGUUAAGCUGACGAGUGGCGAACGGGUGAGUAAUACAUCGGAACGUGCCCAGUAGUGGGGGAUAGCCCGGCGAAAGCCGGAUUAAUACCGCAUACGACCUAAGGGUGAAAGGGGGGGAUCGCAAGACCUCUCGCUAUUGGAGCGGCCGAUGUCAGAUUAGCUAGUUGGUGGGGUAAAAGCUCACCAAGGCGACGAUCUGUAGCUGGUCUGAGAGGACGACCAGCCACACUGGGACUGAGACACGGCCCAGACUCCUACGGGGGGCAGCAGUGGGGAAUUUUGGACAAUGGGCGCAAGCCUGAUCCAGCCAUGCCGCGUGCGGGAAGAAGGCCUUCGGGUUGUAAACCGCUUUUGUCAGGGAAGAAAUCCUUUGGGUUAAUACCUCGGGGGGAUGACGGUACCUGAAGAAUAAGCACCGGCUAACUACGUG
rnacentral:rRNA from 1 species